rnacentral:snoRNA from 1 species
UUGGCAUCGGUGAUGAGUUGAUAAAAAAAUCGUUAUCCUUGCACUUUGAUUCACAGUGAAGAAAAUCAUGGGGAUUUAUCACUCUGAGAUGCUC